rnacentral:rRNA from 1 species
CCUACGGGAGGCAGCAGUAGGGAAUAUUGCUCAAUGGGGGAAACCCUGAAGCAGCAACGCCGCGUGGAGGAUGAAGGUUUUCGGAUUGUAAACUCCUUUUGUUAGAGAAGAUAAUGACGGUAUCUCACGAAUAAGCACCGGCUAACUCCGUGCCAGCAGCCGCGGUAAUACGGAGGGUGCAAGCGUUACUCGGAAUCACUGGGCGUAAAGAGCGCGUAGGCGGGCUUGUAAGUCAGAUGUGAAAUCCUGUGGCUUAACUACAGAACUGCAUUUGAAACUGUUAGUCUAGAGUGUGGGAGAGGUAGGUGGAAUUCUUGGUGGAGGGGUAAAAUCCGUAGAGAUCAAGAGGAAUACUCAUUGCGAAGGCGACCUGCUAGAACAUUACUGACGCUGAUGCGCGAAAGCGUGGGGAGCAAACAGGAUUAGAUACCCCGGUAGUC